rnacentral:rRNA from 1 species
AUUGAACGCUGGCGGCAGGCCUAACACAUGCAAGUCGAGCGGGGUUUUCGGACCUAGCGGCGGACGGGUGAGUAAUGCGUAGGAAGCUACCCGAUAGAGGGGGAUACCAGUUGGAAACGACUGUUAAUACCGCAUAAUGUCUACGGACCAAAGUGUGGGACCUUCGGGCCACAUGCUAUCGGAUGCGCCUACGUGGGAUUAGCUAGUUGGUGGGGUAAUGGCUCACCAAGGCGACGAUCCCUAGCUGGUUUGAGAGGAUGAUCAGCCACACUGGAACUGAGACACGGUCCAGACUCCUACGGGAGGCAGCAGUGGGGAAUAUUGGACAAUGGGCGCAAGCCUGAUCCAGCCAUGCCGCGUGUGUGAAGAAGGCCUUCGGGUUGUAAAGCACUUUCAGCGAGGAGGAAGGGGUUGUAGUUAAUAGCUGCAACCUUUGACGUUACUCGCAGAAGAAGCACCGGCUAACUCUGUGCCAGCAGCCGCAGUAAUAC